rnacentral:rRNA from 1 species
UACGGGGGGGGCAAGCGUUGUUCGGAAUUACUGGGCGUAAAGGGCUCGUAGGCGGCCAACUAAGUCAGACGUGAAAUCCCCAGGCUUAGCCUGGGAACUGCGUCUGAUACUGGAUGGCUUGAAUUCGGGAGAGGGAUGCAGAAUUCCAGGUGUAGCGGUGAAAUGCGCAGAUAUCAGGAAGAACACCCGUGGCGAAGGCGGCUCUCUGGGACGGUACUGACGCUGAGACGCGAAAGCGUGGGGAGCGAACAGG